rnacentral:lncRNA from 1 species
AUGAUGCUAGUUUACAGCAUGGAAGAUGAGCAAGAAAUUAGACCAUCACCCCGUUCACUCUCGACCAAAGAGGUGCCUAUCAAAUGCUCACAUCUCCAUUCUGUCUUCUUGAGUGACUGGAAAUGUGGGGCUCAGCGUUUGGAGCCUAGGACUGGCCAAGUAGGACAGACGUUGCCAGCCAGCCCCAGGGAUUCUCCUGUCUCUGCCUCGGUGGAACCGGGGUUGAAGCAUGUCCCACCACACCUGUCCUUUCUGCAGGGAGGUGGAAUUCAUCUCUUCAUGAAUCCAAGCCAACUAGAGGACCCAGGUGAUGCCAAGAUGUUCUGGGGAUCCAGAGAAUCAAGUUUGAACCUUUCUCCCACA